AUGAAUAUUGCGGGAGAGACUAAACUUACCGUUUAGCACCGAAGGAGCAAAUUCUGACCCUCAGGACAAAUCUCUCUGGUAAAAGGACAGAGGAAAAUAG
rnacentral:ncRNA from 1 species